AGCAUCUUCUCGCCUCAGCGGGAAUAGAACGCCGGCCUCCGCUGUUCUCAACGGGAAUCUCGAUCCAGACCCCUUUCUGCCGUUCACCAGCGUCCGCAUAAACCAGAUUACUCUUCGGUCACUUUCUGCAGAAAAUACCUCCCCGGUCUCCCGACGUCAGAGCCUCCUCCACCUCGGCUCGUCUACCUUUUCCCCAACCUGAGCCAGCACCCCAAUCUAGGAUUCUCUUCCCCUGCCCCCUGGCCUCCACAAGUCAUUUUCCAGCCUGGAAGGAGAGACUGGGUUAUACUUUGGGAAUAAGCCAAAAGAGUAAGCAAGAUUCAAGAAAUAAAGGAGAGAGAGAGAACAGUUGAAGCCUGGACCUAGAGGAAAAGGUGACUGUAAAAAGAGAAGAGGAGUACACCCAGGCAUUUGAGGACUGUUGAACACAGGAUCUGAGUUGACAUUGAUACCUGGAGACCCAAUGCAUCAUCCUCACCCCCAGUUGGAGUGGGAGCUUAUGAGGCCCAGCUCACAGGGAAGGACUGUCACUGGGAGGAUCCUGCUGGAGGAGCCUGGUCAUCUCAUUUUCUGCACUCUUAAUAUGACUUCCUUGACGCAGUCUGAGGCCAAGAGAUCACGAUGACAAAAAGAAAUUAUGAGUAAUAAAAAACGGCUCUUGACAACCCAAGCCCACCCCACCGUUCAGGAGACCUUGGGCCCCGUCCCCAACUCCCCGGCCGCCAGCGCCCCCUCCCUGGCGGCGGGCGCACAACAGCGGAGAGCAGGCCAACACUGCCCUUUCCCGGACUUCAGGGCUUUCUUCUCCCCCCUGUCGGCCUCCCGUCGCUCCCGCCCCGUCCCGCCCCCGCAGCCCGGCGCCUCCGCACCCACGCGCCGCCCUGCCCCGGGCGUUCGCGGCUUCCGCGGACCGGGCCCGCGCUGCCCACCCACCGGCACGUCAAACGCCCUCUUUUCCCCUGAAAAGUUUCUAGACGGUAGGGACUAUUUUCUUUUAAUGUAACCUUCCACCAAACUGGAGGGCAAGUUACCCGAGGCCGGAGAAGGGCUGGGGCGCGGGUGGCGGACUCGCGAGAGUCCGGGCUCUAAAAAAGAAGUCUCUCUUCCGGGAAAAUGAUUAAUUGGGCCUUCAAGCCAGAGUAUUGUUUGUUGGGUUAAUUGUAAAAGGUGCACGGUGAUACUAAUUAUUUAAGAUAGAGAUUUUUAAAAAAUUAAUAUAAAAUAGCUUCCAGUAUACAAAUGGUUCUUGUCUUCAGACCUUGCAGUUCGUUCUACUGAUUCUCGUGUGAUCUGUCUCUCCCUCCUCCGGCUCCCAAAUCCUUGUGUUCAUCUGUAGGGAAAACAAGGUCCCCUGGGAAUGACUUCUUAAAUCCUGGAGACAAAAGUUAAACCGAGAAACUGCUCUUGUAGGCAGUUGGCUAAAUUCUAUCUGUAUUCAGGAUAGGUAAACUAACCUGCAGACAUAUUUAAUGAUUAGGAAAACCGACUAGACCUGUAUUUUUCAAAUGGUGAGUGGCAAAAUCAGUUUGACAAAGGGGAAUUUGGGAGGGAGGAAGGGCAGGAAGGAGCUGGAAUAAAAGAAUAGAAAAAUAUUUACAUAGUAAGGAUCAAUAUUCUUUCAUGAAUCCUGUAUCCUGAGAGAAUACUGAGUGUGUUUUUGUGUGUACCAAGUUGAGAUGUAGAAUAUAUUUGUUGCUGUGGGUUGCUGUCAAAAUACUUUUGAAAACCACUGCACUAGACAGUGGAAUUAUUUUAGGAUGGUUAGAUUGGCAAGAUCUGAAAAAUCAUCUAGGGCUUGCCCGUGGCUUAGCGGUUAAGUGCACGCGCUCCACUACUGGCGGCCCCGGCCCGGAUCCCGGGCGCGCACCGACGCAGCGCUUCUCUGGCCAUGCUGAGGCCACGUCCCACAUACAGCAACUGGAAGGAUGUGCAGCUAUGACAUACAACUAUCUACUGGGGCUUUGGGAGAAAAAUAAAUAAAUAAAAUUAUUAAAAAAAAAAGAAAAAUCAUCUAAUUCACUCCUCUAUGCUUAGACAGUAUUUCAUUUAAAGAAUAGUACAGACUUUAUCUUUCUUGCUUAUCAUCCCAUCUCAAAAUCUGUUCUUAAUGAUUUGUGAAUAAUUUGUUUCUUUAAAGCUAUUAUUUCAGUAAAGAAAGCUAUAACCCAAAAUAUGAAGGCAAGUCUGCCAAGCUCUGCCUGUUUUCUACGGCUCCUCUUGUAUGCUGUGACCCCAGGGCUGCCAACACAUUCCAAAGUG